rnacentral:rRNA from 1 species
GGGUUGUGAGGUUAAGCGACUAAGCGUACACGGUGGAUGCCCUGGCAGUCAGAGGCGAUGAAGGACGUGCUAAUCUGCGAAAAGCGUCGGUAAGGUGAUAUGAACCGUUACAGCCGGCGAUGUCCGAAUGGGGAAACCCAGUGCAAUUCGUUGCACUAUCGUUAACUGAAUACAUAGGUUAACGAGGCGAACCGGGGGAACUGAAACAUCUAAGUACCCCGAGGAAAAGAAAUCAACCGAGAUUCCCCCAGUAGCGGCGAGCGAACGGGGAGCAGCCCAGAGUCUGAAUCAGCUUGUGUGUUAGUGGAACGGUCUGGAAAGUCCGACGGUACAGGGUGAUAGUCCCGUACACCAAAAUGCACAGGCUGUGAACUCGAAGAGUAGGGCGGGACACGUGGUAUCCUGUCUGAAUAUGGGGGGACCAUCCUCCAAGGCUAAAUACUCCUGACUGACCGAUAGUGAACCAGUACCGUGAGGGAAAGGCGAAAAGAACCCCGGCGAGGGGAGUGAAAAAGAACCUGAAACCGUGUACGUACAAGCAGUGGGAGCACCUUCGGGUGUGACUGCGUACCUUUUGUAUAAUGGGUCAGCGACUUAUAUUCUGUAGCAAGGUUAACCGUAUAGGGGAGCCGCAGGGAAACCGAGUCUUAACUGGGCGUUAAGUUGCAGGGUAUAGACCCGAAACCCGGUGAUCUAGCCAUGGGCAGGUUGAAGGUUGGGUAACACUAACUGGAGGACCGAACCGACUAAUGUUGAAAAAUUAGCGGAUGACUUGUGGCUGGGGGUGAAAGGCCAAUCAAACCGGGAGAUAGCUGGUUCUCCCCGAAAGCUAUUUAGGUAGCGCCUCGUGAACUCAUCUUCGGGGGUAGAGCACUGUUUCGGCUAGGGGGUCAUCCCGACUUACCAACCCGAUGCAAACUACGAAUACCGAAGAAUGUUAUCACGGGAGACACACGGCGGGUGCUAACGUCCGUCGUGAAGAGGGAAACAACCCAGACCGCCAGCUAAGGUCCCAAAGUCACAGUUAAGUGGGAAACGAUGUGGGAAGGCACAGACAGCCAGGAUGUUGGCUUAGAAGCAGCCAUCAUUUAAAGAAAGCGUAAUAGCUCACUGGUCGAGUCGGCCUGCGCGGAAGAUGUAACGGGGCUAAACUGUGCACCGAAGCUGCGGCAGCGACACUAUGUGUUGUUGGGUAGGGGAGCGUUCUGUAAGCCUGCGAAGGUGGCCUGUGAGGGUUGCUGGAGGUAUCAGAAGUGCGAAUGCUGACAUAAGUAACGAUAAUGCGGGUGAAAAGCCCGCACGCCGGAAGACCAAGGGUUCCUGUCCAACGUUAAUCGGGGCAGGGUGAGUCGACCCCUAAGGCGAGGCCGAAAGGCGUAGUCGAUGGGAAACAGGUUAAUAUUCCUGUACUUGGUGUUACUGCGAAGGGGGGACGGAGAAGGCUAUGUUAGCCGGGCGACGGUUGUCCCGGUUUAAGCAUGUAGGCGGAGGUUCCAGGUAAAUCCGGUACCUUUUUAACGCUGAGGUGUGAUGACGAGGCACUACGGUGCUGAAGUAACAAAUGCCCUGCUUCCAGGAAAAGCCUCUAAGCAUCAGGUAACAUUAAAUCGUACCCCAAACCGACACAGGUGGUCAGGUAGAGAAUACCAAGGCGCUUGAGAGAACUCGGGUGAAGGAACUAGGCAAAAUGGUGCCGUAACUUCGGGAGAAGGCACGCUGAUAUGUAGGUGAAGCCCCUGCGGGUGGAGCUGAAAUCAGUCGAAGAUACCAGCUGGCUGCAACUGUUUAUUAAAAACACAGCACUGUGCAAACACGAAAGUGGACGUAUACGGUGUGACGCCUGCCCGGUGCCGGAAGGUUAAUUGAUGGGGUUAUCCGUAAGGAGAAGCUCUUGAUCGAAGCCCCGGUAAACGGCGGCCGUAACUAUAACGGUCCUAAGGUAGCGAAAUUCCUUGUCGGGUAAGUUCCGACCUGCACGAAUGGCGUAAUGAUGGCCAGGCUGUCUCCACCCGAGACUCAGUGAAAUUGAACUCGCUGUGAAGAUGCAGUGUACCCGCGGCAAGACGGAAAGACCCCGUGAACCUUUACUAUAGCUUGACACUGAACAUUGAGCCUUGAUGUGUAGGAUAGGUGGGAGGCUUUGAAGCGUGGACGCCAGUCUGCGUGGAGCCAACCUUGAAAUACCACCCUUUAAUGUUUGAUGUUCUAACGUUGGCCCCUGAUCGGGGUUGCGGACAGUGUCUGGUGGGUAGUUUGACUGGGGCGGUCUCCUCCCAAAGAGUAACGGAGGAGCACGAAGGUUAGCUAAUCCUGGUCGGACAUCAGGAGGUUAGUGCAAUGGCAUAAGCUAGCUUGACUGCGAGCGUGACGGCGCGAGCAGGUGCGAAAGCAGGUCAUAGUGAUCCGGUGGUUCUGAAUGGAAGGGCCAUCGCUCAACGGAUAAAAGGUACUCCGGGGAUAACAGGCUGAUACCGCCCAAGAGUUCAUAUCGACGGCGGUGUUUGGCACCUCGAUGUCGGCUCAUCACAUCCUGGGGCUGAAGUAGGUCCCAAGGGUAUGGCUGUUCGCCAUUUAAAGUGGUACGCGAGCUGGGUUUAGAACGUCGUGAGACAGUUCGGUCCCUAUCUGCCGUGGGCGCUGGAGAAUUGAGGGGGGCUGCUCCUAGUACGAGAGGACCGGAGUGGACGCAUCACUGGUGUUCGGGUUGUCAUGCCAAUGGCAUUGCCCGGUAGCUAAAUGCGGAAGAGAUAAGUGCUGAAAGCAUCUAAGCACGAAACUUGCCCCGAGAUGAGUUCUCCCUGACUCCUUGAGAGUCCUGAAGGAACGUUAAAGACGAUGACGUUGAUAGGUCGGGUGUGUAAGCGUAGCGAUACGUUGAGCUAACCGAUACUAAUGAACCGUGAGGCUUAACCUUACAACGCCGAAGGUGUUU